CCUUUGGGCCCAACCUCCCAUCCGUGUCUAUUGUACCCUGUUGCUUCGGCGGGCCCGCCGCUUGUCGGCCGCCGGGGGGGCGCCUCUGCCCCCCGGGCCCGUGCCCGCCGGAGACCCCAACACGAACACUGUCUGAAAGCGUGCAGUCUGAGUUGAUUGAAUGCAAUCAGUUAAAACUUUCAACAAUGGAUCUCUUGGUUCCGGCAUCGAUGAAGAACGCAGCGAAAUGCGAUAACUAAUGUGAAUUGCAGAAUUCAGUGAAUCAUCGAGUCUUUGAACGCACAUUGCGCCCCCUGGUAUUCCGGGGGGCAUGCCNGUCCGAGCGUCAUUGCUGCCCUCAAGCCCGGCUUGGGUGUUGGGUCGCCCUCCCCCUCUCCGGGGGGACGGGCCCGAAAGGGAGCGGCGGCACCGCGUCCGAUCCUCGAGCGUAUGGGGCUUUGUCACAUGCUCUGUAGGAUUGGNCGGNNCCUGCCGACGUUUUCCAACCAUUCUUUCCAGGNUGACCUCGGAUCAGGUAUGGAUACCCGCUGAACUUAAUCAUAUCAAUAAACGGAGGAAAAGAAACCAACCGGGAUUGCCUUCANUAACGGCGAAUGAAUCGGCAAUAGCUCAAUUUGAAAGCUGGCUCCUUCCGGAAUCCGCAUUGUAAUUUGCAGAGGAUGCUUUUGGGUGCGGCCCCCGNCUAAAUGCCCCUGGAACGGGGCUU
rnacentral:rRNA from 1 species